rnacentral:rRNA from 1 species
UACGUAGGGUCCGAGCGUUGUCCGGAGUUACUGGGCGUAAGGCGCGCGCAGGCGGCGGUGCUGGCCCGGCGUGAAAGCCCCCGGCUCAACCGGGGAGGGUCGUCGGGGACCGCACCGCUUGAGGGCGGUAGGGGCUGGUGGAAUGCCUGGUGUAGUGGUGAAAUGCGUAGAGAUCAGGCGGAACACCCGUGGCGAAGGCGGCCAGCUGGGCCGUCCCUGACGCUGAGGCGCGAAGGCGUGGGGAGCGAACGGG